rnacentral:rRNA from 1 species
AAUGAACGCUGGCGGCGUGCUUAACACAUGCAAGUCGAACGGUAGCAGGGACUUCGGUCUGCUGACGAGUGGCGCACGGGUGAGUAAUGGAUAGAUAAUGUGCCCCUUAGUCUGGGAUAGCCACUGGAAACGGUGAUUAAUACCAGAUACGCCUUUUUAGCUUAAGCUAAUUUGGGAAAGGUUUUUCGCUAAGGGAUCAGUCUAUCUCCUAUCAGUUAGUUGGUGAGGUAAUGGCUCACCAAGGCAAUGACGGGUAGCUGGUUUGAGAGGAUGAUCAGCCACACUGGAACUGAGACACGGUCCAGACUCCUACGGGAGGCAGCAGUGAGGAAUAUUGCACAAUGGGGGAAACCCUGAUGCAGCAACGCCGCGUGGAG